rnacentral:misc_RNA from 1 species
GAAUAAGCUUGGUUGGGUUGUUGCUGGCUCUUCGGAGCAUGUGCACGCCUAACACCAAUCUUCUUUACCACCUGUGCACCUUUUGUAGACCUGGAUAUCUCUCGAGGAAACUCGGUAUGAGGACUGCUGUGCAUUUAAUAAAGCCGGCUUUCCUUACAUUUCCGGUCUAUGUCUUCAUAUACACCAUUUGUAUGUCAUAAGAAUGUUAUAAUAGGACUUGAUUGUCCAAAUAAACCUUAUACAACUUUCAACAACGGAUCUCUUGGCUCU